UUGCAGGUCUCCAUGCAAGACCACUGCACCGAUUCCCAAAUGGUAAAUUAAAACAAAUUGGGCCACAAAUGGUCCAAGAUGAACACAGGGAUAGCUCAGUUCUGAAGCACAUGAACACUGAUGUGAAACCCAAGAAGCAAUUACCAGUUCCCGCUGAGUUCUGCAGACAGGGAACAGAACCUUCCAGACGCUUCCUGAUGGACCUGAACACUGGGAUGCUCAAGCGUGGAGUUGGCGAAAUGAACAGAAGAGUUUCAGGAUUGGAUGAGUUCAGACAAGGCACUGAGAACAAGCUGCACACCCUGCAAGAGCUCAGAAUGCGUCCCAUGAUGAGAUCGCAGUACAGCGCUCAGAGCGAAAAACACGAGCAGAGAGCAAUCCCUGCCGAGGUGUACAGAAAAGGCACUGAAACUUCUAGAAAUGUCCUGAUGGACCAGAACACCGGUCUGCUCAAAGAACACAGGAACGAGAUGGACAGGAGAGUAGGGGGCUGUAAGUCUCACUUUCUAAUGGAGAUUGUCCAUUGGUCUACCAGCUAGAGUAGCAAUAAACCAGUGCUAAUCAACAUAAACCAUCCAAAGUAAAGUCUAAUUGGUCUUUUUAGCAGGUAAUUUGGCUUUCUCAGCAAUCCUUUACCAGUCUGGACUAAUGUUUUCUAUCACCUUCAUUAGCAGCUAAAUGGGAAGUGGUUUCUGAGCAUGAGGACAUAAGAAGCCAAGACUCUUCUGAACAUAAGGAGAAUCACAAAGCAGUUCCUGUUGAGAUCCGCAGGCAGGGAACAGAACCUUCCAGACGCAUCCUGAUUGACACGAACACUGGGAUGCCCAAGGAGGAACUCAGCGAAAUGAACAGAAGAGUUUCCGGCUUCUACAAUCCAGCACCUAUUGAGAAGAGGCAAGGAACAGAACCUUCCAGCCGCUUCCUGAUGGACAUGGACACUGGGAUGCUCAAGCAUGAAGUUGGCGAAAUGAACAGAAGAGUUUCUGGCUGUAUGUCUGCAAAGCCAUUUUUUUUUUUAAAUAUCAACGCACCGCUGCACAAACAAGACACUGAACCUUCCAGAAACCUCCUGAUGGACCUGAACGCCGGUCUACUCAAAGAACAUAGGAAUGAGAUGGACAGGAGAGUAGGGGGCUCAGCUAAAUGGGAAGUGGUUUCGGAGCAUGAGGACAUAAGAAGCCAAGACUCUUCUGAACAUAAGGAGAAUCACAAAGCAGUUCCUGUUGAGAUCCGCAGGCAGGGAACAGAACCUUCCAGACGCAUCCUGAUUGACACGAACACUGGGAUGCCCAAGGAGGAACUCAGCGAAAUGAACAGAAGAGUUUCUGGCUGUAAGUCUGCAAAAUAAUUUGCAUUAUAGAUUU
rnacentral:lncRNA from 1 species